rnacentral:tRNA from 1 species
GGGGAUUUAGCUCAGCGGCAUAAGCGCCUGCCUUGCAAGCAGGCAGAUGCGAGUUCAAUCCCCG